GGGAAUUAGCUACACCUAGAGCACCAGGCAGGCAGAAGGCAGUCAAGAGCUGGAGGAACAGCUCCGGCGUUUGUUGCAGAUGAGAGAUGGGGUGAAGGAGCAAAAGCCCAAAGGGCCUCUGGUGAGCACUGAUGCCAGCACAGCAGUGCAAGGGAUGAAGCUGGAACCAGGGCACUUGUGGCCAAAGCCAACGGACAUCUUUCCUGGAGGCACAGGGAAGGAGAAAUGAUAGGGCUUUAUCUUAACUGCGCAAAGCUUCAGCAGCAGAACAAGAUGCUUGCAAUUUGCUGCUCCUUAUGCAGUGGAACAGCUACAGGACAGCCCGUGUUUGACACCGACCUCCUGUUUAGACCAGACGUUGCACUUCCAGAAUUCAACAGACCAAGGAUGCUCCAUAUCAAUUGAUCUGAACGCCAUUAGCUCAAAGGGAUCUUUCUACAUGGGGGAUCACUAAUGAGCUGAAAUAAAAUAAGAGGUAAAAGUGGAAUACA
rnacentral:lncRNA from 1 species